UACAGGGGGGGCAAGCGUUGUUCGGAAUUACUGGGCGUAAAGGGCCAGUAGGCGGCCAACUAAGUCACACGUGAAAUCCCCAGGCUUAACCUGGGAACUGCGUGUGAUACUGGAUGGCUUGAAUUCGGGAGAGGGAUGCAGAAUUCCAGGUGUAGCGGUGAAAUGCGUAGAUAUCGAGAGGAACACCUGCGGCGAAGGCGGGUUGCUGGGCCGACACUGACGCUGAUGCGCGAAAGCCAGGGGAGCGAACGGG
rnacentral:rRNA from 1 species